rfam:Hyphopichia burtonii NRRL Y-1933 unplaced genomic scaffold HYPBTscaffold_7, whole genome shotgun sequence.
GCUCGUAUGGCGCAGUGGUAGCGCAGUAGAUUGCAAAUCUAUUGGUCCUUAGUUCGAACCUGAGUGCGAGCU